ensembl:rRNA 5S_rRNA 5S ribosomal RNA
AUCUACAGCCAUACCACCCUGAACGUGCCUGAUCUCGUCCGAUCUUGGAAGCUAAGCAAGGUCGGACCUGGUUAGUACUUGGAUGGGAACAGUUUCUCUCUUUUUCUUUCAUGAUUUUGGCUUGUUUGGCUU